rnacentral:rRNA from 1 species
GUGUCAGCAGCCGCGGUAAUACGGGGGGGGCAAGCGUUGUCCGGAAUUAUUGGGUGUAAAGGGCGCGUAGGCGGAUUUGUAAGUCAGUGGUGAAAUCUCGGGACUUAACUCCGAGACUGCCUCUGAGACUGCUUUUCUUGAGUGUGGAAGAGGAAAUCGGAAUUCCCGGUGUAGCGGUGAAAUGCGUAGAUAUCGGGAAGAACACCAGUGGCGAAGGCGGAUUUCUGGUCCACAACUGACGCUGAGGCGCGAAAGCGUGGGUAGCAAACAGGAUUAGAAACCCCAGUAGUCC